GCAAAGCAAACCAGGAUUAAAGAGGCAGCCAUGGACCAGGUGUUACAAAACCUGAAGACUUCUUUGUCUCAGAAGAGGGCCCUGGACACACAAGAUCACCUCUAUAGUUCUGAGAAUGAAUCUCCACAACGUGUUCAUGGGGGAAAGCGAGCAAGGAUUAACAAGGCAGCAAGACGUGUGCUUUUACCCCUGGCAUCCAGUCCAAGUUCUGAUGAAGCCACAUACAUAGGAAGUCCACAACGGCAUGACAUUGUAAGUCAUACUUCUUUCCCAGCUGUUGUGUACUCUCAGACAAAAAUUCUUUCUCUGUUGUAUUGCUUGUCACAGUUAUUUUCUCUUUUCACUUUUUAAAGUUUCAAGACGAAGAUGAAGAGUUGGGUUUCUCCUCAGCCCAGAGAAUGGCAAGUACAUUUAUGUUGAAUAUUAUAUUAUUAUGGUAAAAUUAUAUUAUAUUGAAUGAAAAGGUCAGGCAAAGGUCAGAGAUCUUACACCCAACUGCAUGGAAAACUUAAUCUCACAAUUGUUACAUAUCUUAUUUUCACAUAUAAACUCCUUUUGGCUGUCAUGUGCAUGCCAACUAAGCAUAAUGUAUUUCAUUUACUUUUAUUUAAUAUAUUCAACAAUAUAAUCAUUUUCAAACACCUUUCAUUAAUGUUUUGUCCCACACGGUAGUGUGGAUUAGAAGAGUGUCCUUUAAACAUACUGUAUUUCCUUUGAGAAAUAAAGUAUAGAAGUCAAAAACAUGCGCAUGCAC
rnacentral:lncRNA from 15 species